AGGAGAGUAACAGAAGAAAGAAGCAGAAACUUCCUUUUAAAGCAGUAAGUAGCCUGAGUGGAAAACAUCCCAGUCUAACAUCAGCUAAUCCAGGUCUCUAUAUAAGGACUGGAUAUUUUUGCUUGUAAUGUAUUCUCAGGAAAUUUCACCAAAUAAAUAGAUAAAACAAGCCCGUGUUAUCAUUCCUGAAAAUCUCUAGUCUAGUACGAUGAGGAGAGCACCUGUUUAAAAGUAGUCUGGGUGAUAAAUCACAGAAGGUUGCAUUAAUCAAGGCAGCCUAAAGAUGAUAGGUACAAUUAUGGGUUUGUCACCCUAGAGAAAUUCCUUGAUCAAGACUUCUCAAACCCAGAAUAAACCCUCAAAUUUUUGCCCGCAGAUGGCUGUGCCUAAUCUGGGGACUUAGCAUAUCUUAUCCUUAGGGUAUUGAAGGCCUUCCUGCAGGGCCUUAUCCAAUAUCCACAGUAAUGAAACCUUGUUCUGUGGAGACCUAUCACUGGUGUGAUGAUGGAACACCUCUACUCCCAAUUGGCAGCAGUCUUCACACAUCACAAGUGAAAAGAGAUGAAACCAAAACCAAAAUUUGAGUCCUGUCUUGCCCUCUUCCUAUGUGCUGUAGAAUUUUAUAUAAGUGGAUGAGGGCAAGCUAGUUAUAGCUCACCAUUCAGAAAGAUGCCUGUACUUGCUUUGAAUGAUUUUUUAAAUGUUAUAAAACUAGAAUUUUUAAAGCAAUAGCAUCGUAAUUCAAAAAAGUAUAAACAAAUAUAUUGAAGAUCACACUGUAAAUAAUUAAGCCAUCAAUGUUGGACAUUAUUUGAAAAUUAUGCAUUUCUCAUUGAUGAUUGGUAUCAAUUAUUAGCUAUGCCAUUAUCAACAUAAAAAUAAUUUCUUCCGUUCCUAUAUCCACACAAUGAGAGGAAUCUGUUUGGAUGAUCAAAUAUCUAGAGCUCCUAAAUUCUGGUGUUAGUCAUCUAAUUUCAUUUCAAGGGCUAUGUCAGUCCCCCUUGCUUCAGAUUUACUCUGCACUUUGUUCAACCCUUCUGACUUGAAACACACAUAUCACCAAAUACUUCUUCCACAUUUUUUUCUUACCGCUGAAGACCAUACCUGUUAUUGCUGACUAACAGUUUACGCAUGCAUAUGAUAACAUCCUUUUGCCCCCUGUUAUCUUCCCCUAUGGGACAGGAGUAACCACAGUCUUCUUAUAUUUUCAUAGCUCUUAUUCCAUGUUACACUCAACUUAUGUUUAGUUAAGUGACCAAGUCUGACAGAAAGUUUGUGCCACUUGUGCUUUGAAGAUAAUAUGGGAUCUGAAAUUAUAAGAUUCCAGAGAAAUAUGCUGGUGUGUUCAUGACUUCAGUGUAUAACAGAAGUUAAAAUUUCAAUGCAGCAAGAAAGAAUGGUUUAUUUAAUUAACAAUGCCAUCAACUUGCUAUCCAUCAAGGAAAAAAAAAUGUGUCCCUAUUCUAUAUUAUUUUUUAACAUUCUGGAUUAAGUUAAAGAACUAAAUUUUUAAAAAUAAGGCAACAACAAUCUUAAAAUAUUAGAUGAUAAUACUGACCAUGUAGGAGUAGGGAAAACUUUUUAACCAUAGCAGAAGAUAUAGAAACUUUAAAAAGGAAGGAUAGACUUCCUUAGGUCUAAAGGAACUUAAUUUAGACUGACUAAAUUAAAAAAAAAAUUUCUGCCAGAAUUCUCAAAAAUAGUAAAUAAAUAAUAGACUCUAUAAAAAAUGAAACAAAGUUAUCUAAAGUCUAAAACACAUAUCUUUAUUAAAUAUAAGGUCAUAUAAGAAAUAUAUCUUUAUUGAUUAUAAGGUUACUAGCUAGAAUAAACAAAAAUCCUCAUAGAUCAAGAAAAUAAACAACUCCAUAGGAAAUGAAUCAGACUAAAUCCAUGUGGCCAAAAAACUUGUGAAAAGAUGCUCAAAUGUACUAGUAGCAAGGGAUAUGCAAAUUAAGGUAACAAUGAUAUAUUGCUUUAUUCCCAUCAACCUAGCAAAACUGAAAAAGAAAUAUUGCUGCCAGGAAAGUAGAAAAAAGGGUAUUACAUUGCAGCUGGUAAUGUGAAUGGUAACAGCCUUCUUGCAAAAUAAUCUGAUAAAAUCUAUUAAAAUUAAUACUAUGUAGACCAUAUCUUAGCAAUUCAAUUCCUGGAACGUCUUUUUUAAAAAUAAAAACCCCAGCAAAUAUACAGAGACAAAUAUACAAAUUUACAAAUUAUGACUGAAUUGUAAAUAUCAUGAAACCAAUAAUAUAAUGAAUCAGAACGAUUCAUUAUAUUAUGGUUAACUUGGAGAAUUUUUUCCUUGGUAUUUUUGAGUGAGAAAAGCAGGAUGGAGAAAAAGUAGGCAUCACAUGAUCCAGUAUUUGUAAAAGAAGGACAUGCCUUCCUACACUUGUAGAUGUUUUAUAUAAUAGUAGGUAUAAAUAUUCAUGUUUGUGUGUAUUGCAUAAAAUAUAUAGAAGGAUAUUUAUCAGGUUGUUAACCUGUGUCACUGUUCCCUGGGGAAAAGAUUAGAAGGAAAAGAGGGAGAGAGGGGCUUUCAAAAGAAAUGUGCUUUAAAAAGCCAACCAUCUACUUCCAAGUGAACAUGGAGGAAUUUACCAGUGAAGAUAGGUGUCUGGUGGUGCAUGGAUAAGAAGAAGGGUUUCAUUUAUAUAAAAUAUAUAAAGUUAUGUACAUAUUUGCAGAGUUUACACUUUUUUAUUUUUAAUUUUUUAAUUUUUUAUUUUUUUGUCUUUUUGCCGUUUCUUGGGCCGCUCCUGUGACAUAUGGAGGUUCUCAGGCUAGGGGUCAAAUUGGAGCUGUAGCCACUGGCCUACUCCAGAGCCACAGCAACACGGGAUCCGAGCCGCAUCUGCAGCCUACACCACAGCUCACGGCAACACCAGGUCCUUAACCCACUGAGCGAGGCCAGGGAUCGAACCUGCAACCUCAUGGUUCCUAAUCGAAUUCGUUAACCACUGCGCCAUGACGGGAACUCCUUUACAUUUUUAUUUUUUAUUUAUUUUUAUUUUUUCUUUUGUCUUUUUAGGACUGCACCUGCAGCAUAUGGAGGUUCCCAGGCUAGGGGCUGAAUUGGAGUUGUAGCUGAGGGCCUAAACCACAGCGACAUUAAGGCGGGAUCCGAGCUGCAUCUGUGACCUACAUAGCUCACGGCAACGUGAGAUCCUUAACCCACUGAUGUAGGACAGGGAUCAAACCUGUGUCCUCAUGGAUACUAGUCAGGUUCAUUAACCACUGAGCCAUGAUGGAAACUCCUGGAGUUUUUAAUAUGUGAUGAAAUUAAUGAAUUUCUGUAAAAUAUCUCAGUCUUCAUGGAAUCACCAGUGGUUUCAUUAACUGGCCAUACCAGGCUUAUUAGUCCAUCUAUCUCCUGAAAAAGAAUAAAGAAAAGCUAAGAGUUCAGCAUAGUCAUUCUGAUUUUUUUAAUGUGUAAAAGGAGAGUUACCUUGAGCAGCAACUCUUUGGGGACAGCAUGCUGUAGUGGAAAUAUACUAGGGUUUAAAGUCAGACUUACUGAGGCUCCAAACACAACUUACUCAUUAAUUCAUUGUAUGACCUUGGACAAAGUGCUUAAUUUUUUUUGCCCUUGGUUUACUCAUUUAUAAAAUGGGGAGAAAUAAGCCCAUGUGAGAGUUCUGUGUUACAGACUGAUUAUAUUGUGUGGGAGUGUGCCUGGCAAAGUGUUUGGCAGAUUGCAGGACACAGAAGGUUACAUGAAAAAUAAAUCAAUGUCAACAGAAUACUUGUAUAGAUUGGGAGCCAGAAAAAUCAUGUAGUGCUGAAUUUAAUGGAAAUUUUGAUGUGGAAGCCAUUUGAAAAAUGAUUAUGCAUAAUUAGUCAUCUUCAGUCCCUAUAACACCAAGGUGCAAUAAAUAAUCUUGGAAUUGUCUUCACGGGAUUCAGGUUUACACAGUGGGAUCUCUCCUCGCCUUGGCUGGCUUGCACUCCGGUUCUGUGUUGUUUUUGUACAAUGUGCAGAUGGAUCAUGCUUUCAGAUACACCAGGUUGUCCUCCACAAAGGAAGAAUUUAUGAAGUCCUGUGGUUUCCAUUUCAUGAAAAGUGGAUGUAAUUUUUUUUUAGAUCAUUCAGUUAAGAUUAUAGGUGCUCUUCCCUAAUAGAAUUUUCUUCUUAUCUAUUGGCCUCAUUUUUAAGAAAAAAGGUUUACUUGUACACUAAAUCCAUCUAAACUGGAAGUCUGGUUAGGUGGGAGCCAGAUAAGUAAGACAGUACUGAAUUUAGUAGAUAUUUUAGAUAUAGAAAGCUCUAUGGGACAUGGUUAUGCACAAUUUGCUUUUGAAAGAAAGCUUUCACACUAAAUCAAGUUGUGAACUAUGAAAACUGACAUUUGGGGACAUUUAAAAUACUAUUAUGAAGUUUAACUCUUCUGAACACUGGAAGAAAUUUGGCGGAAUUUUAAGCACGUGGCUCAUUUGAUUUUUUUUUUGCUCUGAAGAAAUUUUUAUUAUAGUUGAUUUCCAAUGUUCUUCAUUUGACUUUAAUUUAUUCUAAUAUAUUUAAAGAUUUUGCUAUAAUGCAUAAUCUAGACAUAUUUCUGCUUUUCAAUUUUGUCCACCUAUAAAAUAGAAUCCACUCAUGAUUCUUUUAAGGAAUACUCAGUCAUCUUCUGGCAUCUUUUAAAUUAGUCCAUUAUAGAUCAUCAGUUAAUCCAGUAUCUUUUGCUUAUCCACUGGCAAUUAUAACUUUCUUCCUCUGUUAGAAUUCUCCCAUCUGGAAAAACUCCUUCAUAUUUUUCCAAUGAUACUACAUUCUUUUAUAAAUCUUUAGGCUUAUAGACCACACCUGCUGAACCAAAGUACUUUAUAAGUCAAAAUCUAAAACAAAUACCUUCUAUCCAACUAAUCCUGGCAAUUCGUAAAAUCAUUAUUUAUUUUCCUCCUCCUUGAACCAUUUUUGGCAAAAUUUUGUUCUCCUCUGAAAGGCCUCAUAUGGACAGGACAGGCUGGCUAACUUAGAUUGCUACUUAGGUAAAGACUGCACUGCUUGCUAUAG
rnacentral:lncRNA from 1 species